UUUCAGUUUCCUACAUUGGGAAAGUGUGGUAGCUGAUCACUGAAACAAUGGAACAAGUAGAAAUUUGGCCACCCAUCUUCGCUGAUCCUCUUCCAAGCCAGGCGGAGGUUGAAGUUUACUCAACAUCCUUGGAUUGUGACACCACGGACUUCCAAACACUCUUAGAAGGACCCCAAAAUGAACAUGAUUUGGACGGAUUGCUGAAAUGUGCAUUCAAUCCUACUUAUAUAAAGGAGGCAAAUUUAACACAUGAGGCAAGAUUUUCGCAUAUGCAAAAGUGCAAACUUGCUAAUUAAUCAACGUGGCAAAUGGUGCUGCUCGAGAAAGAGGAGGCCCAUGCCACCAUGGCCCUCAUCGGAGGAGGAGGAGACGGAGGGGGAGGAGAAGAGGAGGAGAUGAGAGAGGGUGCAGGGGCCAUGUACACACCGCCUUGUCACCGGAGAAGUAGGAGGCUUGCACCCACCGCCACAUCGCCGGAGGAGGGGGCCUGCAAUCUACUAGGUAUGAAUUAUGAAGUUUCCAUUCGUUGCAAUGUACGAUUUAUCAUUAUCAUUGUCUUAAGUAGCUAAACACAUGUUAUGAGCUUUAGAUUACAUGCAAAAAACUGGUUGGAAGCACAGGGGUCGUGUGAGAAGUGCACGCAAGAGAGGAACAUGGUCGAUAAUCACAAAACCAUGCUCCCGGGACUUGCGCUCUGCAAGUGAUGGCCAAAAACAUGGGCGUAGAAGAAACAAUGACCAUUGGACAUCUCAAGAGGUGAAAGCACUAGUGGAUGGCAUAUCUGCAUAUGGGGCUGGACAGUGGGCUAAGUUGAAGAACGAAAGGUUUCCAAUAUCAAUUCGGACGGCGAAGCAUCUUACAGUAUAGUCUGUUGGACAAAUGGAGAAACCUAGUGAAAGCCUUCACGGGAAAUGUGAAAAGAAGGAUCUCGCCUCGUCUAGAUAAGGAUUGCGUCAAAAAGAUCCAAAGUCUAGCAGUUGUUUACCCCUCGGAAAUGAAGUUGUACUGCGAAUGCUACAGAAAAACGUCAUAUGGCACUUCUGGUGUAGCAGUGGCCUAGCAACAGGAGUUUUGUUAAUUUUUAAGAAUUGAGAAGCAUAGACUGAAAUAUUAAGUGUGACGAGAGUAGAGAGUAGAUUGAACCAUCUGGAUAGAGCAGCCCCUAUUUCCUGCCUAACUGCCCUGUGAAGUACUCUAUUA